GAGACUUCAAAUAUGGAAAGGUGAUAGGUGAGAUAACCCGUGGACGUGUUACAUGUAAUCCAUAAGUCUUCCUGUUACGUGCAAGUCUGAAAGCGUCUGAAAUACGUAAAUAUCACGUGCAGGAAUAUUCCCGCACAAAAGACCGCGUGAACCUGGAUCAGAAUACAGGGCGUACAACCAAACGAGACGUCACAAUCAUUACGUCAUUUUCAUUCAUCCUGAUUGGAUGAUUUCGCCAUGGUUACGCGUUUUUCUUGAACGUGAUUGGUUGGAAAAACCGGUUUUAACUGGUUUUGUGUGGUACGACACAAAUAAGUUUGUUGCGUUCAAACGCAUAGUUCAGUGUUUUGGGGGAUCUAGAAGAGGAUCUUCUCCAUUCACUCGCAAGUUGGUGGCUUUGGACUUCAAGUCGACGCGAAAAGGAGCGGCUAAUGAACCAAGUGAAAUGCUUUGUGAUGCGAUUUAAAUGAGAAUGUGCUGGUUCAUCAGAUGAGCAAUUCUCUUGACGGCAUUUGGUGGUCAUUCCAAGUUAAAGUCAAGCCAGAGAUCUGAAGAUGGAUAGUCUGAGAUGUGUCUUAAUGCGAAAAGGCUUGUAGUAUUAUGAUCAGGAGUACAAAGAAGUUGGAAUGUUAGCUUAAUAGUAGAGCACUCAACCCUUGCAAAUUGGGAUUUGAAACUUUAGAUUUGGUCAGCUCUGUGCUGCAUUUGCUUCAUUAGAAACUGUGGGAGGAAAUACUACUAUACUAUAGAGUAAGAUCAUGUAGUUUGCCAAACGCAUGUGCUACACUUAAGAUUUUAGUGUCUGUGCCUGUCCAGAAGAAAGCUGGGUCAAGUUCUCAAGUAAAAGGCAAGAAAUAAGCUGUUAUCUUUAAAGUAAUUUAAUCUUCCUACUUUACAUUAUUAUUCUAUAUAUCAUUUUAGCUUUUAUAGCUGUAUAUCUCUAUGCAUUUGGGUUUUUUGGGGAGAUGGUAUUUUUUAUUUUUCUUUGAAGAUAGCAAAGACCAAGAGAAAGUUUCCUCUGACAGAAUCAGAACAUCUAAAGUUCAGGUUACAUAAAACCUUCAAUCUCAAAAUCAUAAUUUAUUUCUGUUAAUUAGUAAAUUGUGUAGGCGAUAUGUAUACUUUGCUUGGAAUUUCAGUUUAGGUGUGUACGAGAAAUGUUAAGGAACUGGUAAAUAAGUCAUCCAUAAAAGUCCUGUUAAACCACUUCAUCGAGAAGGUAGAUGAAUUAAGCUGUCAUACUUGAGAUCCAAAUUCUCUACGUAAUUUUUUAUGCAUUCAAAACAUUCAUUUAGUAGAAGGGGUAUGAUAUUSGGGUAGAUCUGGGUUGUAUGUUUUAUUCAUCUUUCAGGAUGAAUGGUAAAUUCUCUUCCGCUGGUUACCAUGGAGUUGCAUAUCUAACAUUUUUUCACGAUUGUGGUAUGACUGUUAAAUUUAACAAAAAUAAUGGUUAAACUUUAUUUAUUAUAAUAUAUUAUUUUGUGGAAUUUAUUAGUAAUUAAUCUGAACUUAAUCAUAAAUUAAAGCUUAUAAAGGCAUAUUAUUCAUAGGUUAGGGUUUUGUAUGUAUAUAUUUUGCUUUUAUUUCUUAAAGGCGUUGCUCCGAACUUGUUGCCGGCUAAUUUCCAGUUGAGGCUCGAUUGCAUAUCAAGGCUUCCCUUGAGCAUUCGUUCUACUGCGAAGAUUAUCAAUAAUGCCAUGCGAUCUCUAUGUAAAGCAAGUGGUCACUCCAACUCUAAGCCUUCUGGUACAAUUCAUUUCUACAUAUUCAAACAAAGCCAUCUCUCUGGUGGUCCAAACAAAUUGGUUCAGCUGCAGACAUUCGUUCCACCUCAUCAGACAGAAAUUUUCGAAAGGUAACCAUUUGACCUUGAUUUUUUGUCGCAAAAGUGGUCUUUUUGAUUUGCCAGAUUUAGCAAAACUUGUUCACAAGAAAACAUGAUCCAUUUUCAUGAAGCAUUGGUUUUAAGUAUCCAGUCUAAAUUCAAGUUCGUAGUUUUCUAAAAGGAGUUUGGUAAGCUCAUUUUCAUUUUUUGAUGCUAAAGUAGUGUGGCCCAUAAGGCUACUUUGUAGGUAUGUGUUUCUGUUUUUCUUUCCAGCAGUGCAAUCCGUUAAUUGCUAUAAAGUUGGUCAAUUCUAAAUCUGAAACAAGCAUAUUGCAAGAGACAUAAGGCAAGCUCUUCCAUUUCCUUGAAUGAUAAGUGCAGCGAAUAAGGCAAGCAUCUUCUUCAUGAUUGGCAAGUUUUUAUGCAGAGGUAAUGCUGCUCCGUGUUYGUUUAUGAUUCCCAAUCAAGUCUUACAGCUUAUUAAGCAUACUCCAUUCCCAAGUAUCGACAUGGUAGUUCAAUCUUUCUAACCAAAAAUGAAAUUCAGCAAAAGACAAGCCACCAAAAUAAAGUUACUAGUUUCUGCUCGUUCCUUGUUGCGGUAUUUUUGUUUGGUCUAUACUUACAGGACAUGAUUGAGAUGACUUCAUAUCUAGAUACAGACUGAUAAAUUCUGCCUUUUGAGGAAUCACCGAGACUGUACGUAAAUCUGACUUUAUAAAAAUCAAUGACACUCGCUUUUUGUGCACAACGCAUGUUUCCUAUCAGUUGCAUUGACAGCAUUACCAAGAGUCUUAAGAGCCGCAGUUCAAUGAUGAGCGAAAGACAAGGUAAAUUUUGAAGUUUCUUUGCAUAGAAAAUUGGUCUUUUCAAAUUUUUAGCAGAACUGUUUUGGCAAGUACAGUUUUCAAAGUUGGUACGACAAAACGUGGUGUCUAAAAUGCGUUUAUAAUAGCAAGUUUUCCUUCCAUGAAGAGGUUUUCAAAGUAACUUUUCUACCAGAGUUUGGUAAGCUAAAGGAUUUUGCAUAUAAUUAUGUUGGUGACAUUGGCCAUUAUAGUUGUCCGUGGGUAUGUGUUCUAUUUUCCUAUUUGCCAGGUUAUUUGAAGCAUUUGUUUCUGGACUUUAUAAAGUACAAAAGACAAGAAAUUGGACUAAAGAGUAACGAGUGCACUAUGCAGAAAUAUGUAGAAAAGUUCAGAGGGGACUAAAGAAAAGUAGAAAGAGUACGCACAUAACUAGCGAUUUCUCCAAAACAUCGAGUCAGUGAGAGGGUUAACAUACAAGGCAAAAGCAAUGAGUAUAAACACCCAAGAUAGCCAGAUUGAAUCCCUAACUUUGAGCAGAGAGUGCAAAAUCGUAAAGCUAGCUUCAGGGGUGGUCCUUAGCCGUCAAUCCAUGGUAGUUUGAAUGAAGUGUAGCAUUGCCUAAAGCAGAGGUUCCAAGGUAGUCGGUCAUUCAGUAGUUGUUAACAUGUCAGUGGUGGUUGCAUAUUCUACUCAUCUUCGCUAACAGGACUAGCUCGUGUCUGUGACUGUCUGCUGUCCUCGACUCGUAGUCAUCAGUACAGUGAUUGAGUGGAUUCGCUUGAGUGAGUCGGUUGUCCACCGGUAAGCAUACUUGUCCAGCUUUUGUUUCCAUACAAUGCCUUGUUGCCUUCAAUUCAAUCUGCAGUGUGUCAAAGCAUGUGGUGAUUAGGACAAAAAAUUCAUGUUGAGAGUAGGCGAUGGAGUUUGCAAUCCACUUUUGAAAAAGCAGAGUAAAAAGCCAGUUGCACACUACUAAGGAAUUGUUUCUGCCACAGUGCAUGGAAGUUUGGUGAGCUAAAUUUUUAAAAUAUGUUUCUGAACUUGUCGUUUUGACCCUUUGGGUCCAUUUUGUAGGCACAUGUUUUUCCUUUUUUUACAGCAAAUGCAUAUGGGCUUAUCGCAGCAUUGAGGCCAGAAAAUAGUGUCCGUGUGACUUACAUGCUUAGUUCCUCUGAACCGAUCCAUUUAUAAAGGAGAGACAUAGUCAAGGUUAUGAGAGAUUGGUGGCUAAGUUAGAAGCAUGCAGUGCAUCCUCCAGAUGAAAUGAGCAAUAAAGAACUCGGAGAGAGUAGAGAGAUGCAGGUUUUGGCUUUCAAUUACUGAUCAGUCAUUAAGGUGAAAUCAUCUCAUUCCAGUUAAACUGCAGUCUUUCAUUUGCGUUAUUGGCCUAGUUAAUCCUUUUGCAAGGUAACAGGUAAACUUUAAACUUUUACAUAUAAUAUUUAUUUUUGUUUUUGUUUUAAAUGUACUCAUUUUCUGUAGUGCACUAAACCUUAAAUGUUUUAAAAUCAUAACCAUAACUACUAGAACUUCACAUAAGUGUUAGGAUGUCGAUUUUAUUGUGGUGUUACUAUUUAGUUUAAUUUUUCAUUCUAAUUAAUAGCAUACUUAAACAUGCACACAUGUAUCAGUGUUAGUUUGUGGAAGUGAACAUAUUUUUGAGUAGUUUUAGUAUUAACUGUGUUGUUGAAGAUCACAUAGUUUUAAUGUAAACUAUUUUUUUGUGAUAAGAUUUUAUGACCCUCGGGGGUCUUCGUAGGCAUGUUUUCUUUUUUUCUUUUUUAACAGCAAGAGCAUUAUGGCAUUCAUUAAUCUACAUAAGCAUCCAGCAUCUGUAGUGCGAAAAGCAAGAAUCGACUAAAGUAACCUAAACCAUUGUAUGUCCUAACAAAACGGUAGAAAAGUAACACUAAGUAAGAUUGCCAAUAUGCUUCCCUAUUAACUGUUCAUUGCAAGCGAGAGCAGUGGGUAUUGCUAACGAGAAACUCUGUUGAUGUUCCUGUCUGGGUGUAACCAUUUCCUUUGUUCAAGUGUGGCACCAUCGUUCAUUGUUUUGUAGUACUUUGGCUGUUCGUAAUGGGAGCAUGAGCAGUGGUAACCACAUAAAGUUCCAUCCAAGUGUAAGCACAAGUAUAGUUCUUUCGUCCUUCACAAGCAUUGCAUAACACCUAUUGUAUCCUGUAAACCUAAAGUGACGAGGUAGCAACUAGAUUGCAAGUGUAUCGAAUGUACAUUAUUUGUAUCCUGUAAACCUAAAGUGACGAGGUAGCAACUAGAUUGCAAGCGUAUUGAAUGUGCAUCAUUUGUCCGUUUUGUGGUGUAUCUUUAUUUGGUCUUUACUAACAGGACAAGUCUAAAACGACAUGGCCGUCUAAACCUUUGGAUAUAAUAACUGAUGUCUAACAUUUUGGAUCUGCUAUGCGUAUCACUUGUAAGCAUUCUGUUUUAAACUUUCGACUUUAAGUUUGUAUGCAACAUGUUGUUACUAUGCAUUAAAUCUGCAGUUGCCUAAAAGCACAACUAAAGACUAAUUUAAAUCAAACCAUUUCAACAAACGUAUUGAGCAGGUAACCUGUUUUUGACUUCGUGUUUUGUGUGGAAAUUCGUACUAUUCUUCAAAUUAACAGGAAAAAAAGUUCACUGAGUAAUCAAAUCAAGCAAGCCAUUCACUAAAUAAUCACAUCCAGCAUUAACCUUAGUGCCAUUAAAACACUGAAACGUAACAUCCUAAAGGAGUUCGGUAAGACUAUAUUAAUCUUCAAUUAUUGAAUGUAAUAUUGUAGGACCCUUUGGGUCGUUUGUGGUAUAUCUAUUCUAUUGUCUUCACAGCACGUAGAAGUUCCUAAAUCUAAAAUAUUAACGUAACCAGUGGAUCUUCAAGCAUAGUGGUAACUAGAGACGUAAUAACCUUAACAAGAUAGAAUCUUUGCAAGUUAAUAAAGAGAGGAUAAAGUAUGGCCAUGGAUCUACAAUCAGGGGGCUAUUGAAUAUGGUUAUUGAGAGAGUGAUACCAGUAGUAUAUUCCAUACUAGUUUGUUCAUCAUAAGCAACUCGUCUCCCCACAGUAAAGUGAUUGUUAAGAGAAGAAUCAGUAAUGUCUAAACAAGCAAGUAGUGGUAGCCUAGCCUCUUUUACAAGUUAUUGUUUCUACUGUUCCAUUGGUCCCUCUCCCCUAGCGCAAUGUUGGUAGUCCUUUUACGUCUUUACAGAGCAUAGAGCCAAUUCAAGUUUAAAAGCCAUCAAGCUAUGUAUGAGAAAGCAGGAUUUCCNUAAGCAGUAAAUCUAUUUCUACUAUUCCAUUGUGUUUCAAGUCCCUCUCCCCUAGUGCAAUGUUGGUAGUCCUUUUACGUCUUUACAGAGCAUAGAGCCAAUUCAAGUUUAAAAGCCAUCGAGCUAUAUAUAAGAAAGCAGGAUUUCCAUAAGCAGUAAAUCUAUUUCUACUAUUCCAUUGUGUUUCAAGUCCCUCUCCCCUAGUGCAAUGUUGGUAGUCCUUUUACGUCUU